CCAGGUCCCCAGGUGGAGACUGUGCCCCGAGGUCGUUUUAGAGAGUACCUUUAUGCAAAUGGUUGCUGAGUCAGCCGUGGCAGUCGAUGAUGAAAUGUCGGAGGAUGACGUCAAGAGCAAAAUAUCGUGCAUUUUUAAAGAGAAACUUGCUAGGUUAGCUACUCAUGAAAAUAAUUUUGAGUUUGUUCGAGCGAUUGGCAAUCAAAUAGUUAAAGUAAAUAAUGGGCCUUUCACGGGAAAACUUUAGCAGCAUAUUUCCAAACAGGGACCAGUUUAUGUUAGAACACUGGUGGCAGUACCAGGUGCUGGUUUAAAAGGAUGGAUAGCUGACAAAAGUGUAGACUCAAGUGGUGAUGAUUUCUUAAUGUCACCAACAUUUGAAAUGAAAAAUGACAUAAAGUCAGAUGUUAAGCAAUCUAUGCCUCCACCUAUUGAAGUCAUAGACUGUGACAAAGAAGAUAAUGAUGGGAGACAAGAGCAAAUUGAUUCAAAAUGCUCAACUGCACCAACAUCUUUGGCUCAAUCACAUUUCAUAGCAUCUGGGGGUAAUUUUCAGCAUUAUUAUUGCACGAGUAGACCAUAUGGCAAAUAUGUGGAAAUAGUGAAUGACAAAGAAGAGGAAGACACACUUCAAGUUUCUUUGGAGGCAAGUCAAAACAUGUAAGUUGAUUGUAAGUCGAUCAAUUAUUUAAGAUGCUAAUAUUUUGAACUUUGCUUUAACCAUUAUUUUCUCAUCAUAUAGUGAUAAUUAAUGCAUUUUAGAGAAAGCACGCCAUUAAAUAUAGAUGUUAAGAAGCUGUUACAGCAGCACAGCAUCAUUUUUAUGAAAAGCGAUUCAUCAAAUAAAAUUAUUGUAAGGCGAAGCAAACUUUUGGCAACUGCAUUUGUUGCCAUGAAAUCAAAAAGGUUUGAUUGCUGUGAAGAUUUGAUAAUUCAGUUCAGUUGAGAAGAUGCAAUAGAUGCUGGAGGGCCACAGAGAGAAAUUUUCAGGUCAAAUAAUGCAUUCUAUUUCAUUCAAUAGUUAUUGAGUAAGGUGUUGUACAACAAGUUGAUGGGUGACAUUGUGUUGCAGUGACUAUAUUAGAAUGAAUAAUUUUUUAUGCCUUUACAAUAAGAGUGUACCUUUUUCAGACUAGCCAGGUAGGAAAUUGUUCAAUCUUCAGGUCUCUUUGAAGGAUACAAUGGAUGUAAUCUGAUUUUUACUCACAAUGUGAAACUUCUUGAAGGAAAGCAGUAUUGGUUAGCAGGUCGCUUGGUUGGCAUUUCAUUGAUGCAAGGUGGCCCCGGCUUUGGAUGUCUUAAUUCUACUGUGUAUGAUUUAAUGUGUGAAGCACCAUGUGAUGUAAAUGACUUUGAUGUUUCACUCAUACCAGAUUAUGAAAAAGCAGCUAUGCUCUCAAAGCUGAAGCAAUUGGAAACACAAGAAGAGUUCAUUUCAUUUGUCAAAGAAAAUGCUGACAGUAUAGCUAGCCAAGGAUAUCCAUCAAUAUACUUGGCUAGCUUUGAGCAAACAGAUAUCAUUAUGAAGUCGCUGGUUAAGCAGCACAUAUUUUACAGAGUGUUUUCAGAAAUUGAGCAAUUUAAAAUGGGAAUAAAUGAUGUCGGAGGACUUUGGGACACAAUCAAGACACAUUCUAAUGAAUUCAAACAUUUGCUCACAGAGAUUCCAAAGAAAUUUUCUAGAGAAUCAUUCAAAGCCAUGUACGAAAUUGAGUGAAGUCCAAAAGGUCAUAAUAACAGAAGAAAAGACGAUGAAACAAUAUAUUGUUGGAAAAUCUUUUUGAAAAAAAUUGAAGACAAUGAGAUGUUCUACCAGACUGAAGAAAAAUCAAUAAUUGUUCAUUUUGAGCAUUUGUCACAGUUUACGACUGGUUCAGAGUUCAUCCCACCAACUGGAUUUGAAAAUUCCUUAACAAUAACAUUUUACGAUCAAGAAGAUGGGCAAACUAGGUCUUCUUCCACUUGUGCCAUGUCACUUGCACUACCAAGAGGACAUGAAGACCCAACUAUGUUUCAGAAACUUCUUCUAAGAUCUUUAUUUGACUCAUGCGGUUUUUAUAAAAUUUGACAUUGCUUUGAUACUCAAACAUUUCGACUUGUUUUGGCACUGUUCUUGUUAAAAGUUAAGGAACUAAGAUUUGUUAUGUUUGCUAAAUUGGUUACCAAACAGGAUUAGUUAAAUAUUUGCAUACUUUUUACUAUCAUAAGUUAUGUUUUGUGUUGAUAUGGCUGAAGUGAUUGACCUUAUUAUGUUAUAAUUCAAUCGUUGCAAAGAAAAAACUAUUUACUGCCA